UCAUGAGAAAAGACCAGAAAUCCUUCUGCAACCAAAGCAGGUACAAGGAAGUCGCUAUACCGUCCAGAAUGCUCGCCAAAGCCAUGGCUUAUAAAUAUCARAGCUCUGGAUAAUAGAAGUACCAAGGGAGUAAUAACUGGUGUUGCAAGCCCCGCAUCGAUCCAUUGGGCGAAGGAGCGGCUACCUUAACGAGGUCGGAAGAGAAUGGUAUAGCAACUGUGGAUGCUCUUGGAGCUUUACAACAAAGAUACGAAGAGGUGUCCGACCAAGCCUUGGAAGACUACAGCUUGAGGUGAAUGCAAUAGGCCUUUUGCAGGACAUGAUCACGUGGCUCAGUGUUAACUGACUGGCAAAAACUAGAAAUUCGGACUUUCCUUAUCUAAAAUACGUUUUGCUGGUUUACUAAUCUAAUAUCCAAAACCUUUUUCAAAAUGCAAUUUUUUUCUUGUAACAUGCCUUCUAUUUCAAUAUACUAUAAACAUUUUUAGUUAAAUUAUGUUUGCCAGUCAGCAAGCCUUCCCCAAGUGGCCUCACUUUGGCUGAAUUGAUUCCUUAUCAAUUGAUUUAUAUCAGCACGUGACUGUUUGAUGGCAAAAGCCUAUAUUGAAUACUUUAAAAAAUAUCCAUGAAAUAAUGAAAAUUGUUUUAAUACGAUGUUCAUGUAUGCAAUGUAUUUGAUGAAAUAUUUAUGUUGUGAAAUUGAAUGAAUAAAUGAAUGCAAUUUAUGAAAUGAAAUCUUUAUGAAAGUGAAUUCGUAAUUGAAUAAUAAUUGUUAAAAAAUCAAUCUAUUUUAAAGAUUAAUUCAUCCAAAAUUUCAAAGAUGAUACAGAAGGUUUCAAGGUUUUCUACUGAUUAAGAGCUGUUGUUUUCUUUUUGUCUCCAUUGUCACGUGGGAAAAGUGGGGGAGUGAUACUUUCCCAAUCGGACACAAAGAUUCCUUCUCGACUAGUCGGUCUGUCUUCUGUUAAGGUUUUAUUCGACCUUGUACAAUGCAUGUUUAGGCUUACUGGAACUAUAUGAUUUGACAAAGUGUUUCAACUUGAAAUGUCAUGUUUUGUGAACUUAACUUACUGGAAUAUGACGAUUAUCUUUGUUCAGUAUUUUAUCAUACAACUCUUCAAUCCGAAAGGUCAAUUAAGAAUAGC